rnacentral:rRNA from 1 species
CAGCAGCCGCGGUAAUACCGGCGGCCCGAGUGGCGGCUACUAUUAUUGGGCCUAAAACGUCCGUAGCCGGGCUGGUAAGUCCUCCGGGAAAUCUGGUCGCUUAAAGAUCAGACUUCCGGAGGAUACUGCUGGCCUAGGGACCGGGAGAGGCCGAGGGUAUUCCCGGGGUAGGGGUGAAAUCCUGUAAUCCCGGGAGGACCACCUGUGGCGAAGGCGCUCGGCUGGAACGGGUCCGACGGUGAGGGACGAAGGCCAGGGGAGCGAACCGGAUUAGAUACCCGGGUAGUCCUGGCUGUAAACGAUGCGGACUAGGUGUCGGGCAAGCUAAGGGCUUGUUCGGUGCCGCAGGGAAGCCGUUAAGUCCGCCGCCUGGGGAGUACGGCCGCAAGGCUGAAACUUAAAGGAAUUGGCGGG